GACGAACGCUGGCGGCGUGCUUAACACAUGCAAGUCGUACGGUAAGGCCCUUUCGGGGGUACACGCGCGGCGAACGGGCGAGUAACACGCGAGUAACUUGCCUACCACUUUGGGAUAACUCUAGGCAACUGGUGCUAAUACUGGAUAUGUGCUCCUGCCGCAUGGUGGGGGUUGGAAAGAUCCGGCGGUUGUGGAUGGACUCACGGCCUAUCUGCUUGGUGGUGGGGUAGUGGGCUACCAAGGCGGCGGCGGGUAGCCGGCCUGAGAGGGUGACCGGCCAAAUUGGGGCUGGGAAACGGGCCAGGCUCCUACGGGAGGGAACAGUGGGGAAUAUUGCAAAAUGGGCGGGAGGCUGAUGCAGCAACGCCGCGUGGGGGGUGACGGCCUUCGGGUUGUAAACCGCUUUCAGCAGGGACGGAGCUUUUUGUGACGGUACCUGCAGAAGAAGCACCGGCUAACUACGUG
rnacentral:rRNA from 1 species